rnacentral:lncRNA from 1 species
CGGAGUGCCGGGGCCGAGCGGCCCGGCGGGAACAAACAGCCGCCGCGGCGGGAGCGCGGCUCCGGGGGCUCGAGGCGGCUCCCGGUUCCCCCCGCAGAUCCCGCAAACCCUCCACUUCCUGGAGCAGCGGUCUUCCGUGCGCUCAGCCCUGGAUGUUAAGGUUUACGCGGACGCCAGCCGGAGCCGGGAGCAGGAGCGACAGCCCCACCCAUCAUCGCCCCAAGGCAGCUCUCCGGCCACCGAGGCCGAAGCGCACUUGGCUCGCCAGCGGAGCCUGAGACGCCCGGACCAACGCCGCCCGAGCGGGGCCGACCCGAGCCCGAGCGGCUUCCGGCCCAAGGGGAGACGCGCUUGAGUGAUCGCGAGGAGCGAACUUGGCGUCCUCUGCCUCGGGCCUCGGAGAGGUGAGCGAUUCCGGCUGCGCCCCUCUCCUCCCCUCCAAGGCCGGGACCCCGCCACCCAUCCCCUCGCCACGCGGGAGUGUUUGCGGGGAGAGCCAAGCAGCGCGCCGCCUGCCCGUCGCCGGCUUCCCCAAGCUUUUCUGGGGCGCUUCGCUCGCAUUUCGAAAGCGUGCACCGGCCCAGCACCCUGAGUUUGCCGGUAUCCGACCUUGCUCUGUCUCAGUAUCCGUUUGUCUCGCUCAGCCUGUCUCUCUCGCGCUUGGUGAAUCUCUGCCUCUUGUUUCCCGUGAAAACCCUGUGUUUGUGUCGAUGUCUGUUCGUGGGUCUGAGAAUCCCUCGCUCAGUUUCUCCAUUUCUCCCACGCUUACUCGCGCUGCAUGACCCCCCGCCCUCCGCCCCACCCCUUUUCUGGCCGGACUUGCGGGCUCUACCGACUGGCAGUAGGACCCCCAACCGAAAACUCGGCCAAUUACCCUGACCUCAACCGCAAGCCAGGGUUGCCUUCAUCUUUCAGGAUUCUGUGCACACAAUGUUGGUCCUGUGCCCCUUUUUCUCGCCAGCUGGGUUCCUGCCCAUCCCAUUAGGCCUCCUUCUCCCCUGGCCCCCCUCCAGGAACCCAGCAACCAGUAGCUCCAGAUCAGACUGGGCCCAUCUUAACCGCAGGGGGUAACAGGGGAGCUGGGCACUGGACGCGGGUAAGAACCGAGCCGAUGGACGGGCUGCUGCCCCGACAGCGCCCCGAAGUGGUCAAAGUUCAGGCCUUCGAGGCUGGAGACCCAGCUGCCCUCAGCUGUCAUAGGCUGUAGGACGGUCAGCCAGUUACUUCCGCCUCCCAGCCUCAGUUUCCCGAUCUGAAUAGUAGCUAAAAGCAAAGACCCGGGAUCCCAGUCCUGGCCUCACUACUGACCGCUCUGGAAUGCGUUUCUAUAACUCCUUGUCCCUCUGUUUCUGUCUCUGUAAAACUGAGGCUGAGAACAUCUAAUGCGUAGAAGUAGCCAUAUCACUCUAAGCGACUUACAAAGGAGGGUAUUGCCGGCACUUUGCAGAUUCUUGGGGAGAGAGAAAUGGGUGAGGGGUGGUGUGGUCUCCCACCUGGAUCUCAUCCCUGGUCUAGCCCUUGACAGGGUCACCACUGCUAUCCAACCCUCUGCAAUCACUGUGAUGAAUGAGGUUCCCCGUGGGUAAGGGCUGAGAGCAAGGUGGGAGCGGAUUGUCACCCCUGCAGGCUAUGUCUCAGCAGGGUCAUGCGAGUGUGAGUGAGAGCUCCCUUUCACGCAACAGCAGCCUCCAAUCUAGUGUAUUCCACGGGUGGAGCAACAGAGGUCCAGAGAGGGGCAGGGACUCAGGCCCCUACAACAUGACAGAGCAGGGCCAGGUGCACCCUUGUCGCCGAAUCCUCAUGAUAGAGUUCUCCGUCCUGUCCGGCCAUCUGGCUAAGAGCAGAAGAGAAUGGAAGGCAGUUCUGGCUGCUCAUAUUCCAUGACAGCACGUCCACUGCCCCCCCACCCCCCCUUCCUGGGGCCUCAGACCAAUAGGAUCUACCCGGUGUGCUGGAUCAGUAUAAAUAAUCUGUCCUCGGAAAAAAGAGAAAAGGUCCCGUUCUCAAACCAUGGUCAGGAAAUUGAACAGGGAGUGGUGGUCCUGGAAGCAGAAUUUCUUAGGUGCUAGAGCCCACCAGAAAAAAAAAGGGGGGGGUGGGGGGGAGGCUUGGAGAUUAAUGUUUUGCUUGAGUCCAGAUAAACUCACAUUUUGCUAGAUUUGUUUUAUCUGGCAAACGUACACAUACCCCAAGCUGCCCAUCACUGUGCGCCUCUCUCUGACACUCACAGACACACUACGCAAUCCACCAGACACACGCACCCGCUCAGCUCUGCUGACGGCUAAGGAAGCGGGAGAACAGCAUCACUGGCACUCCCCUCCUCCCUCGCACUUUCUACUUGUCUUCGAUUCUAAACCAGCCAAUGUGAACCAGUAGCUUCUCCGCUCGCCAGCACGCUCCUGGUUCCCCAGGCUCCAGCCCCUUGCCUAAGUUCAGGGUAAGACUGGAAAGGCAUGUGCUGCCCAGAUAUCUUGGUUCUAAUGCUCCAGGGAAGACUGGCUACAGAGUGAAGCUGCUGCAGCUGCCAGCCUCCCCCUCUGCCUGGCCCUGCUGCACACUGCUUGCAGCUGAGACCCAGCUCAAGAAAAGGGGCUGUGGCCCCCCACAACCCCUGUUCUGCAGGGUGAUUCUUAAGAAAUCCCCCAAACUCUUAACACACACACACACACACACAGUUUUAUAGGAGUGGACACUGAGGCCCAGGAGAUCAUGUGACUUGCUAGGCUUUUGAAGGGCCCCCCAAAUGGGGUUGGACUCAGGUGUCAGGACUCCCAGCCCAGAGCUCUUCUAUUUAUCCAAAUAACUCCACAGAACCCCAGAGGGAACCCCACUCUUGCCUGGAGAGAGGUGUUUCUGGAGGCCUCUCGUUCCUCCCAAGGCUCUGGGCAAAUUUUUUUGAACAAUACCAGGUGUCCACGCUCCGGGGCUGCGAGAAGGGCAAGCGGGAAUCCUGAGUUUCUUUACUCUCCCACCCUUCUCCAGCCUUUCCUGCCUGCAGCCUCAUCUUUUGUGGUGUCUGUGACCCCAGGUGAGUCUGUCACUCCCCUCUGUGAAAAACUGGGUGCACUCCCAGAAGCCCGGGUUCCAGCAUCCUGCCUGCAGCCUCCAAGAAACGGGAGGUGAGGGGCUCUUCGGGGCUUGUUUGCUGUGUCCCUGCUGGUUCCCAGCCGCCUCCUUCCUCCCUCUCACUAUUUAGCCACCUCCCUCGAGCAGCCCAGACACGAGAGGAGGAAGCGUUUGGGGGCACCAGUUCAGGGGUUUUACACUCCAGAGUGUUCGGAGCACCGGGGAGCUGUGGUUGUGUGUUCCUCGCGUCGUGUCGCUGCCAAGGGCCGCCCUCCCCUUGCAGCUCCUCCCUUCCCUUCUUAGGGCCCCUGUAGGCCAAGCUGUCCUCGGCUCGCGGGAAGGGAGCGUUCUGGGAUGGUUCUGAGAAUUACGUCCAUCUCGAAACCGGCCGAGAGGCGGCUGGAGGCCGGGGCGAGCAAGGAGGUCUCCCGCGCUUCCAGCGCGGAGAGCGCGGAGGCUGCAAAGCGCCUUCUGAGCCGCCUGAGCCAGGGCACAGGACUCCACGCUUGCACGGUUCUCUAAUUUUACUCGCAAAUCUAGCAGCUUCGGGGAAAGCGACGAGACCCAAGCAGCCACCCCCUCGUCCCGUCCCUACACGGGACCGCGGCGGGUCCAUCUCGCGACCUUUUUCUCCUCCAGAUCCCAACCUGCUCCAGAGCAACUGGCUCUUGGCCCCCGGUGGGAGGCGGGAGAUUCCAGAUCGUGCGACCUGCAGGGGCAAACCGUAGGCGAUUGGGCUCCCCUGACACGGGCGCAGGACUGAGGCUUAGAGAUCAGGGAGAGGCCGGCUCUUCGGCAGGCACGGAAAUGGCAGGGCCUCCGGCGGCGUGUAUGCUUUCAGCCGGCCCGCCUGCCCAUCCCGAGAAGCCGGCUCAGGGGUCGGCACCUGUGCAACCCCCACAGCUCGGGUACUCUUCACCCCUUGGAGGAAACGCCUCUCUCUCCUUCCAGGGUGCACGUCCACGUCUGUCCCUGGCUAAGCGGCGGGGGCUCGCGGGAGCACCCUCCGGCCCCAGCGCUAGGCAUUGGCUGGACCCGGGCACUGCGGAGCCUGCACUCUUGUUCGUUCGCUGGAAGAGGGUGAGGGCUCAUGAGGGUGAAUACAGCACGGUUCCAAAGCCGCCUAACAAGGGGCUCCAGCCUCUGCAGCAAGGGUGGCAGGGCAGGGCCCCACAUGCUUGGCAGAUGUGCCGCGGGGCCAGGCAAAUAGAGGAAGCGUCCAGCAAUGUCGAGGCGUGGGCCUCAGGUCAAAGUGCCCUGCUGUCCAGAUGCGUCCUGGGUUCCCGGUCUGCGCGCCCGCGUAUGUCUGCCUCUCUGGGCAGUGGUGGCUUUGUGUGACCAAGUGCAUCCCUGAGCGCCUGGCGCCCUGCCGCUCAUCUGCGCGGGGACAGCCUUGGAAGGCUCUCCAGCCAGGCCCACCUCCCCACCUCCGUGCCUGAAGGGGCUCCACCUGCUGUGGGUCUGCAGACCCGCGUGGGCUGCAGCGCAACCCUGGCAAGGAAGGAGGAUGUAGGGGCGAGGGCUUGGGCAAGGGGUGGCACCAUGGCUGGGAGAGGAAGGAGAGGGUACAGGGGCCUCGUGCACACCGCCAGGAAGACUGCAGCGGCCACCCCUUUCCCAUCAAUUUCGCUCCGCCCGCUGGGGCAGCAGUGCCUUGGGAACCAGGCAGCCUUCUGGAAUUGGAGGGGAGGUCAGGAGCACCUCAGAGCCAGCCCAGCCCAGUCCCCCACCCCACUCUUUAAACACAUGCGCAUGCACACAUAAGCUGUCAGGGUUAGCCUUUCAGACCAGGCUGGGUAACUGGCGAAGCUGUAAGUCCUUCCCGGGGAAGGGAAAUACUGCUGGGGGCUGAGCCCUGUGAAGCUGCUGCGAGGCACGUAACUGAGCAAAGGGACCAGAGGGAGCCCUGGCCCGCUGCACAAACGCUGGCGAAGGAUUCCUGGGAAACAGCGACCUCUGGAGGAGCUGCACAUCCGCACAAAGAGGCAAGAACUGGACCACCAAGUCUGGGACCAAAGCGCCUGUUCCCCAACCUACUUCUUUGGCAAAGUCAUCCAGCGACUCCUCCUUGCGCAUGCUGGCUUCCUUUCCCAGCCUGUACCCGGGCUUCAAAUCCUGGCUCAAAUCCCACCUCCUCCAGAAGGAAGCCUCCUUGAGAGCCCAACUCAUCCUCUCCUCUUCCUGCUCUGAGCUCCUUCAAACCUAAAACCUGAACCCUUGGCACCAGCACUACUACACGGCCUGCUUCCUGCUUCCCCUUUUCCAAAGAAACCAUUCGGCAAUCCACUCCUCUCACCCUUUGCAUUCCACGCUGGAUGUGCUGUCUUUCUUCUCCCCUCGCCACCAGUAAUUAAAAGAGUGAAGGCAUUUAUCCCAAAAUUGAACUGCAGGUUUUGGAAGUCAUUUCCCAAGUGGGAAACUGAGACCCAGAGAGAGCGCAGACUUGCCCAAGGUCACACAGCAAAUUGAUGGCAGAGGUGGAACUAGAUCCCUGGGUUCCCAUUUCCCAGCCCAGAGCCCCCUCUGUUUCACCUGAAUGAGGAGGGGAAGUGCAAGAAGGAACUUGUGGGAGGGUUCUGCCCCAGGAUGGGGCAGUGAAGAAGGGAGGGCACAGUUGCCCUGGGAGGUCACAUUCUUCCUUUUCCCAACUCCAGCCCCAUCAAGCUACUUAAAGGGCUCCAAACUUCGGGGGUUGGCUGGGUGUCUUACAUCAGCAGGCAGGUCUGCUGCUGGAAGCUGGAAACCGCUUCAGUUCAGGCAAAUGCCGCCCUCCCCUGUGUCCUGGAAAGGGAGAGGGGAGCUGCUAAUGCACACCCAGAGGGUGCUGCUGAAACCGCAGAUCAGCAGCAGGAGACCUUCUGGUGCGUGCAGUUAGAAAGGUAAGGGAGAAGCUGGGAGGGUAAUUUGCAUGUCAUUUGUAUGAGGCUCCAGUGAUCUCUGCCCAGCAGCCCGAGGCGGCCUAAGAGACACUCUCCUCCUACCCAUUGUGUGCUGUUCCGCAGGGGCUGCCAGGCAGCCCGCUCCCUCUGCCUCCCCCUCGGCCACUCCCCCCACCUGCUUGUCCAGCCUCAUCUCCAACCCCUGCGCUGCGUGCAUCCCUGAUAAGUUCUUUCUCACCUCUUCACCUUCUCACUGAGCGCACGCCUGCCUGGCUCAUGCCUCCUAAUCCUCUAUCCAUUUCAAGUGUCAAGCUUUCUGAAUCACUUCCCCAGACAGCGCCCCACACUGGCCAGGCUGUGAAGGCACCUGCCUCGGUGCUCCCAAAGCACUACUUCCCUUCUUGUCUGCUGUCUUCUGUUGACUGGGAGCUUCUUGGGACAGAUGUUAUAUCGUCUCCCUCCUCAUCUUUCCUCUUCUACAAAAUGGGGGCAACAAUUGUCCCUCCCUCAUUGAGUUGUUGGGAGGAUUACAGUAGAUAAUGCAUACAAAGCUCCUUUGUCUAGUGCCCGAAACGUCUUUAAAAGAAGCUCCAUAAAUGUUUCUCAUCGAUCUCAUCAUCAUUAUUAAACACUCCACCUCCUGCCAGGCAGGCACAAAACCCAACACAUAGUAGGUCUGCGUUCUCUAAGGACAGACCUUGUUUCUCCCCCAUUGGUCCCCACCCUGACGGGAGGAGGAUGUGUGCCCCCAUCAGAGAGGUUUUCCCAGGGCCCCAGACCCCAGCAGUCACUGGAUUUCUCUCUCAUGCGCUUUACUUCAGGUUCCUUCUUUUAAAGCCGUUCUGACCAAUCCAACCAGCCAAACCCCUGCCCAAAUCUUCCAGGGGCUCCCCCCCGGCUUACAAGUCAAAACUCAAUCUCCUUCGCAUGGGGAGCUGAUGGGACUGUCCAGGCUCUGUCCCCCCACCUCCCUCACAUUACCUCCAGACGCAGGCAGACCUCCUGGCUGAAUCAAACAUAGCAUUGCAAGUCCAAGGCCCCGUGACAGGCCCAGGCAGGGGGAAGAGACCUCAGCGGAGCCCAUCCCUCCUACCAGAUUUGUCUGAGACUCCAGGAUAGAACCACUCUGGGGCUCUGGGAGCCGGGCUUCUCCUCGAGGAUCAGAAGAUUAGCACAGGGCGUGGCUGCCAGCAGGCGUCCUCCUGCCGAGUGGAGAGAGCGCUGUUUGACCUCGGAGCCCAUCCAAGAAGAACACAUCCUAGAGAGACAAAGUCUAAGGACAAUGCUGAGUCCUCCAGCUCUGCCUGAAACUGGAACCCUUAGACUUCCCAGAUGUUCUAAAGACCCCCUUUUGCUUGGGGUAGGUUGAAUCAACUUGUGCUACUUUGAGUUUAAUUUCACAAACAGCAGAGCCACAGGAGAGAAGGAGCUUGUGUUCCUGAGACCACUGACCGCCUACGCUCAGUUUUCAUGUGAAAAUAAACUUCCAUCUGGGUUAAGUC